AUGAACGCUAGCUACAGGGCUUAACACAUGCAAGUCGAGGGGCAGCAGGGCGAUAGCUUGCUAUUGCCGCUGGCGACCGGCGCACGGGUGAGUAACGCGUAUCCAACCUACCCUGCAGUCAGGGAUAGCCCGGCGAAAGUCGGGAUUAAUACCUGAUGCAGUCAGAAGAGGGCAUCUGAUUUUGACGAAAGAUUUAUCGCUGCGGGAUGGGGAUGCGUAGGAUUAGGCAGGCGGCGGGCAACGGCCCACCGCGCCGACGAUCCUUAGGGGUUCUGAGAGGAAGGUCCCCCACACUGGUACUGAGACACGGACCAGACUCCUACGGGAGGCAGCAGUGAGGAAUAUUGGUCAAUGGGCGUGAGCCUGAACCAGCCAAGUAGCGUGCAGGAUGACGGCCCUACGGGUUGUAAACUGCUUUUAUGCGGGGAUAAAGUGCGCGACGUGUCGCGUUUUGUAGGUACCGCAUGAAUAAGGACCGGCUAAUUCCGUGCC
rnacentral:rRNA from 1 species